rnacentral:rRNA from 1 species
UACGUAGGGUGCGAGCGUUGUCCGGAAUCAUUGGGCGUAAAGAGCUCGUAGGCGGCUCGGUAAGUCGGGUGUGAAACCCCCAGGCUCAACCUGGGGACGCCACCCGAUACUGCUGUGGCUAGAGUCCAGUAGGGGAGUGUGGAAUUCCCGGUGUAGCGGUGAAAUGCGCAGAUAUCAGGAGGAACACCAGUGGCGAAGGCGCCGCUCUGGGCCGAGACUGACGCUGAGGAGCGAAAGCGUGGGUAGCAAACAGG